rnacentral:lncRNA from 1 species
CGACCGACUCCUUGAGAAGAAACGGCGGAGACCUGAGACCCGGAGGCUGAGGCUGUAGGUGGGCUCCGCUGGGUAAAAGUUGCCGCAGCAGCUGUCCCUUGGCCCCAUCGCGAUUUAUUUUUCCCCCUUGCUUUCCGGGUCCCGGGAUCCCAAGUUUGUAACUAACGGGAGCGAAUCCACACCCGAGCAAAAUGUUUGCGAGUUUCAGGCGCCCUUAGUUGAAAGGCUGUAAUUAACAAGUCCGCUGUUUGCCAGCCAGGCGCCGUUGCAGGCGCUUUCUGUGGAUUGUCAUUUAUUUCUCACAGCAACCCUAGGAGGCUGUUAUCCUUGACAUCUGCAGCAGCCCUUCCAAGCUGUGGAGACCAGGUCAUCUGGAAUGCCCAUUUAUGUCAAUGGAAGAAAGAAAAAGGGGUCUCCUCCCAUCCUCACCACUGCAUUCUCCCACCAACCCUGCUCCUGUCCCACUUCCCACAACUCAGUUGUUGACAAUUUAACAGUGGGUUUCUGGAAACAGUGCUGCCUCCUUGAUGGUCUAACUAACUACCAGAGUUAUUCUAACAGCAGGAAUUUCAAGCCAGCAAACCAGACAUACAUAGGAGGCACAGCAAAAGACCCAAGGUGAGGGGCUUCCCUCACCUUCACCCUUGUUCUCACGUGGAGGUGG